ensembl:lncRNA
GGACACACCCUUCCAGCCUGUGCCCCGCUGGAAAUUCCACUUCACACAUACACGAUAAGGCUGCUCUCUAGACAUCUGGGCAUCGAUCAGGACCCUCAAAGCACAAGACAUGAUGAGCAGGCCGGAUGUUCUGAUCUGAUAUUAAAUACGGGCAGUCUGGAGAAUGUUGGAGUUCCUGGGACCCACAAGGCCUGGGAUGGAGCAAGUAGGUGUUCAGUGGAUCUACACGGAUGAACCGGUGUGUGGACGGGCAGACGGGUAGACAGGCUCCUCAUGACACAGCACUAGAAGCCACUAGAAGCUCUAUCCUGCUCGGGGUUUGAGGCCCCCAGGGCGGCACCUGCAGCUUCCUGAACUGAGUGUCUGCAGAAGGAUCGGAGAGCAGGACAGAAGAGGUGGGGUGGCUACAGAUUCCCAAGAGCUUGAAAUCUUCUCGCUGCGCAGCACGCGGAGCAGCUGAACAGAACACACGGCCAGCCCGGCCCCGCAGAGCAAGGCUUGCCGGGAUCUGGGGGGCAGGGCCCGGGCUCGAGCCAGGGGCCUGGUGCAAAAGCACCCAGCUUCAGGAGCUCUCAGAAAAUAAGGC